AGGGAAUUGUGUCACUCCCAUUGAGCAGCUGUGGGGCCCUCUCCCACAUGGCCCAGGUCCACCACUCUGUCAAAGGUCGCACAGCCCAGACAAAAACAGGACACAGCAGUGUGUGAAUGAGCCGGGCUUUCUCCUUCCCUCCACGUAAUAGAAGGUGCCUGAGGUUGUUGAAACACAGUCCAUUUCUCCUGGGAAUGACAAGAAUUUGAGGGAUGCUGACUUUCAAGGAAUACUGCAUGACAGGCAUCAAGAUAAACCUGAUGAAGAAAACAUAGGCCAGAAUCUGGGAAUCGGGAGCAAAGUAAUACAGCUUCGGGGACAGGCACGUAAUGAGGUCAUGAUGUAGGAGACUCCCUGCAGGACUGGCGGCCCCUGUUCCCUGGGUUGUUCUGGCUCUUUCAGUACACAUUGGAGGAGACAUUGCUGCUAAUUCCGUAUUGAAGUGGGUAAUACCACCAAUGACCAAGUAACCUCGGCAAAGCAGAGACAGCUAGAGCGGGAAGAGUCUUCUCUUCUUGGAAGGAAUUUGCAAGGAAGACAGGUCCAAAAUGAAGAUGAGGAAACGGCCUGCAUUUCUGAGGGGUUUAUUUGCUUUUUUUUUUUUUGUUUUAAAUCAUUGCUGGUUCUACAGGUUUCCCUGUUGGAAUUGCCCUUUGGGACUCUCAGGUCUGGAUAGUUCUCUGAGGCUGAUGAGCCUGCUGGGUGGUGGCAGCCUGGUGCCCCUGGUGCAGGCAGCCAAAGAACUGGAAUCUGACUCAGGGGCAGAGAAAUGGGUUAGUGGGUGAACCCAACAUCUCUGCUCACUGUUGGUCCUUGAAGCUUUUCUUCAUCUCAUCAUGGGGACCUCAACAAGGAAGGUGCCCAAGGCAAGGAUGGUGGUGGGGGACCUGAGUGCCAUCCCCACUUCUGGAUCCAGUGUUCAAACACCCACAGUGGUGACAUCAUCUCUGCAUCUGUACAGUGCACAGGGUGUGUGGUUAGAGCAGGAGUUGGAAGGAACGGGGAGGGAACAGUCAUAGCUUCCAGUCCCAUCUGCUUCUUGUCUCUAUGCCCAGAACCUGACCCUGGAACAGGACUGAGCAGGUGCCUGUGUGCACAGAAGACCUUGUGUGAGUCCUUUGGUACCACGUUUGCUGCACGAAUGUCUGAGACACCUCACAGUCGCUUGGUUCAGCCUCUCCCUCCUCUCUCCGCUGGGGAACAUCAUCCCUCAUCACUGGAAGAAAUUACAAGGAUUGUGUAAACAAUUACAAGUAUUCUACAAACAGUGAGCAUGCUGGUUUGGCCCAUCUAUUUGUAAGAAAAAACAUGGGGUUUUAUGGCAAUGAGUUACAGCUCUGAACUCCUGGCACAAUCACAAAUAUCCUCAGCACAAAACACCAAGUGUAUGUCUCCCUUCUGUCCUAAAAGGGUAGUGUGUGCAACUCAUUGAUGGGGCUCCCAUUUCAUUUUUGAAAGAUCUGCUCACUGAUAAUACCAGUGAGAUUGUUUUCACCAAGAUCUAUGACAUACAAAUAAACUGUUGCUUCAAAAGC
ensembl:lncRNA novel transcript